AACGCUGGCGGCAUGCCUUACACAUGCAAGUCGAACGGCAGCACGGGAGCAAUCCUGGUGGCGAGUGGCGAACGGGUGAGUAAUAUAUAGGAACGUGCCCAGUCGUGGGGGAUAACGCAGCGAAAGCUGUGCUAAUACCGCAUACGAUCUCUGGAUGAAAGCGGGGGACUCGCAAGGGCCUCGCGCGAUUGGAGCGGCCGAUAUCAGAUUAGCUAGUUGGCGGGGUAAAAGCCCACCAAGGCGACGAUCUGUAGCUGGUCUGAGAGGACGACCAGCCACACUGGAACUGAGACACGGUCCAGACUCCUACGGGAGGCAGCAGUGGGGAAUUUUGGACAAUGGGCGCAAGCCUGAUCCAGCAAUGCCGCGUGCAGGAUGAAGGCCUUCGGGUUGUAAACUGCUUUUGUACGGAACGAAACGGUCUGCCCUAAUACGGUGGGCUAAUGACGGUACCGUAAGAAUAAGCACCGGCUAACUACGUGCCAGCAGCCGCGGUAAUACGUAGGGUGCGAGCGUUAAUCGGAAUUACUGGGCGUAAAGCGUGCGCAGGCGGUUAUAUAAGACAGAUGUGAAAUCCCCGGGCUCAACCUGGGACCUGCAUUUGUGACUGUAUAGCUAGAGUACGGUAGAGGGGGAUGGAAUUCCGCGUGUAGCAGUGAAAUGCGUAGAUAUGCGGAGGAACACCGAUGGCGAAGGCAAUCCCCUGGACCUGUACUGACGCUCAUGCACGAAAGCGUGGGGA
rnacentral:rRNA from 1 species